AAAUUGAAGAGUUUGAUCAUGGCUCAGAUUGAACGCUGGCGGCAGGCCUAACACAUGCAAGUCGAACGGUAACAGGAAGCAGCUUGCUGCUUCGCUGACGAGUGGCGGACGGGUGAGUAAUAUCUGGGAAACUGCCUGAUGGAGGGGGAUAACUACUGGAAACGGUAGCUAAUACCGCAUAA
rnacentral:rRNA from 1 species